rnacentral:rRNA from 1 species
CGAAGCAACGCGCAGAACCUUACCAACCCUUGACAUGGGUAUCGCGGUUUCCAGAGAUGGAUUCCUUCAGUUCGGCUGGAUACCACACAGGUGCUGCAUGGCUGUCGUCAGCUCGUGUCGUGAGAUGUUCGGUUAAGUCCGGCAACGAGCGCAACCCACGUCUUUAGUUGCCAUCAUUCAGUUGGGCACUCUAAAGAAACUGCCGAUGAUAAGUCGGAGGAAGGUGUGGAUGACGUCAAGUCCUCAUGGCCCUUACGGGUUGGGCUACACACGUGCUACAAUGGUAGUGACAAUGGGUUAAUCCCAAAAAGCUAUCUCAGUUCGGAUUGGGGUCUGCAACUCGACCCCAUGAAGUCGGAAUCGCUAGUAAUCGCGUAACAGC